GUGAGGAAUAUUGGUCAAUGGGCGGAAGCCUGAUCCAGCAAUGCCGCGUGUGUGAAGAAGGCCUUCGGGUUGUAAAGCACUUUUGUCCGGAAAGAAAUCUGUCUGGCUAAUACCUAGAUGGGAUGACGGUACCGGAAGAAUAAGCACCGGCUAACUACGUGCCAGCAGCCGCGGUAAUACGUAGGGUGCGAGCGUUAAUCGGAAUUACUGGGCGUAAAGCGUGCGCAGGCGGUUUUGUAAGACCGAUGUGAAAUCCCCGGGCUUAACCUGGGAACUGCAUUGGUGACUGCAAGGCUAGAGUGCGUCAGAGGGGGGUGGAAUUCCGCGUGUAGCAGUGAAAUGCGUAGAGAUGCGGAGGAACACCGAUGGCGAAGGCAGCCCCCUGGGAUGACACUGACGCUCAUGCACGAAAGCGUGGGGAGCAAACAGGAUUAGAUACCCUUGUAGUCC
rnacentral:rRNA from 1 species